GACGUCACGAGAUGGUCGCCGCCUAAGUGUUUACAUUCAUCAGUUUAUUGUUUCUCUGUUUCAAAGUCGAAUUUAUCAAAGUUUUUGAGCGAGUAUUUUACUGGAAAGUGUGUCGGAGUCGACUGGAAGUGAUUGCCAAUCGAGAAAACCUGACAAUGGAGGCUACAGUGAAGACAAAGGGAGGAAAAACACACGGGAAGCGAUGCAUUGCCGCUGGCUGUAUUAAUGUCAAGUCUGCCGUGGCGAUGUUUCUGUUCCCAAAAGAUGAAGGAACACAUGCAACCAACCCUCUUUGUGAUACCUGCAGAGUGAUCCAUGGAGGGGAUUCCCAGGCCACCGAGGGAAAAUGGAUCACUGGGUUUAAAGGGACUGCUUCCACUGGUGCUUUUGUUUUCCACACCAAACAGGCCCGAACUCUUCUGGCUGUCCAUAGCAGAACCCAUCCCGGUCUGGCCGAGAGCCAAGCCCAUCCCGGACUGGAAGGGGGGCUGGCUGGACCCCACGGGCCCUCCCAUCCCAGACUGAGAGAAACCUGAUGGACAGACAGAGCACAGAGACCGGUCACCCACAGAUAAUACGUACAAGGACCUCUCACAAUAUAAACUGGGGACCCCUCAUUUAGUUCCCUUGAAAUAAAAUUAGGAUUAUUUUAUAGAAAAUAUAUUAAAGACAUGUGAAUAAUCUUAUAGUAAUGGGUUAGUUGGAUUGGAACGGAUUAUAUAUGAACCAAUAUGGAUUUAAAAAACGAAAAUAUUUGUUGUCGAUCUAUGGAGCUUCUUUUUUAAAUAAAACAUUUAAACUGUC